rnacentral:rRNA from 1 species
CGCCUGUUUAUCAAAAACAUCUUUUCUCGUUAGUUUUUGAAGUAUGGCCUGCCCGCUGACUUUGAUGUUGAAGGGCCGCGGUAUUUUGACCGUGCAAAGGUAGCAUAGUCAUUAGUUCUUUAAUUGUGAUCUGGUAUGAAUGGCUUGACGAGGCAUGGGCUGUCUUAAUUUUGAAUUGUUUAUUGAAUUUGGUCUUUGAGUUAAAAUUCUUAGAUGUUUUUAUGGGACGAGAAGACCCUAUAGAGUUUGACAUUUAUAUGGUCUCUUUUCGUUUGUGAGGGUUCACUGGGCCAUUUAGUAUGUUUUGUUGGGGUGAUGGGAGGGAUAUAAUUUAACCCCUCCUUUGUGUUGUUAUAUUUAUUUAUAUUUGUUUGAUCCAUUUAUUUUGAUUGUAAGAUUAAAUUACCUUAGGGAUAACAGCGUAA